rnacentral:rRNA from 1 species
UGGUAGUNCACGCCGUAAACGAUGAACACUAGGUGUCGGGAGGAAUUUCGGUGCCGGCGCAAACGCAAUAAGUGUUCCGCCUGGGGAGUACGUUCGCAAGAAUAAAACUCAAAGGAAUUGACGGGGACCCGCACAAGUAGCGGAGCAUGUGGUUUAAUUCGAAGCAACGCGAAGAACCUUACCUAAGCUUGACAUGGGGAUGAAAAGCAAUGUAAAGUUGUAAUGAUACUUUCGGGUAUACAUCCCACACAGGUGGUGCAUGGUUGUCGUCAGCUCGUGUCGUGAGAUGUUGGGUUAAGUCCCGCAACGAGCGCAACCCCUAUUGAUAGUUGCCAGUGCGUUAUGGUAGGCACUCUAUCAAGACAGUUAUGGAUAACAUAAAGGAAGGUGGGGAUGACGUCAAAUCAUCAUGCCCCUUAUGCUUAGGGCUACACACGUGCUACAAUGGCUGUAACAAAGAGAAGCUAAGUCGUAAGGCGGAGCAAACCUGAAAAAAGCAGUCCAAGUUCGGAUUGUGGGCUGAA